UACGUAGGGGGCAAGCGUUGUCCGGAUUUAUUGGGCGUAAAGAGCGUGUAGGCGGUCUGGUAGGUCCGUUGUGAAAACUCGAGGCUCAACCUCGAGACGCCGAUGGAAACCAUCAGACUAGAGUCCGGAAGAGGAGAGUGGAAUUCCUGGUGUAGCGGUGAAAUGCGCAGAUAUCAGGAGGAACACCGGUGGCGAAGGCGGGUCUCUGGGCCGAACUGACGCUGAGGAGCGAAAG
rnacentral:rRNA from 1 species